rnacentral:rRNA from 1 species
GGAUGCGAUCAUACCAGCACUAAAGCACCAGAUCCCAUCAGAACUCUGAAGUUAAGCGUGCUUGGGCGAGAAUAGUACUAGGAUGGGUGACCUCCUGGGAAGUCCUCGUGUUGCAUUCC